GAUGAACGCUGGCGGCGUGCCUAAUACAUGCAAGUCGAGCGAACAGACGAGGAGCUUGCUCCUCUGACGUUAGCGGCGGACGGGUGAGUAACACGUGGAUAACCUACCUAUAAGACUGGGAUAACUUCGGGAAACCGGAGCUAAUACCGGAUAAUAUAUUGAACCGCAUGGUUCAAUAGUGAAAGACGGUCUUGCUGUCACUUAUAGAUGGAUCCGCGCCGCAUUAGCUAGUUGGUAAGGUAACGGCUUACCAAGGCAACGAUGCAUAGCCGACCUGAGAGGGUGAUCGGCCACACUGGAACUGAGACACGGUCCAGACUCCUACGGGAGGCAGCAGUAGGGAAUCUUCCGCAAUGGGCGAAAGCCUGACGGAGCAACGCCGCGUGAGUGAUGAAGGUCUUCGGAUCGUAAAACUCUGUUAUUAGGGAAGAACAAAUGUGUAAGUAACUAUGCACGUCUUGACGGUACCUAAUCAGAAAGCCACGGCUAACUACGUG
rnacentral:rRNA from 1 species